rnacentral:rRNA from 1 species
CGUGAGUGAUGAAGGCCUUCGGGUCGUAAAACUCUGUCAAGUGGGAAGAACCUACGUAAGGUUAAUAUCCUUAUGUACUGACGGUACCACUGAAGGAAGCACCGGCUAACUCCGUGCCAGCAGCCGCGGUAAUACGGGGGGUGCAAGCGUUAUUCGGAAUUAUUGGGCGUAAAGGGCGCGUAGGCGGCCUGGUAAGUCAGAUGUGAAAGCCCGGGGCUUAACCCCGGAAGUGCAUUUGAUACUGCCAGGCUUGAGUAUGGGAGGGGGAAGUGGAAUUCCUGGUGUAGAGGUGAAAUUCGUAGAUAUCAGGAGGAACACCAGUGGCGAAGGCGACUUCCUGGACCAAUACUGACGCUGAGGCGCGAAGGCGUGGGGAGCAAACAGGAUUAGAUACCCUGGUAGUCCACGCAGUAAACGGUGAGAACUAGGUGUAGCGGGUAUUGACCCCUGCUGUGCCGCAGUUAACGCAUUAA